GAUGAACGCUGGCGGCGUGCCUAAUACAUGCAAGUCGAGCGAACAGACGAGGAGCUUGCUCCUCUGACGUUAGCGGCGGACGGGUGAGUAACACGUGGAUAACCUACCUAUAAGACUGGGAUAACUUCGGGAAACCGGAGCUAAUACCGGAUAAUAUAUUGAGCCGCAUGGUUCAAUAGUGAAAGACGGUUUUGCUGUCACUUAUAGAUGGAUCCGCGCCGCAUUAGCUAGUUGGUAAGGUAACGGCUUACCAAGGCAACGAUGCGUAGCCGACCUGAGAGGGUGAUCGGCCGCACUGGAACUGAGACACGGUCCAGACUCCUACGGGAGGCAGCAGUAGGGAAUCUUCCGCAAUGGGCGAAAGCUUGACGGAGCAACGCCGCGUGAGUGAUGAAGGUCUUCGGAUCGUAAAACUCUGUUAUUAGGGAAGAACAAAUGUGUAAGUAACUAUGCACGUCUUGACGCUACCUAAUCAGAAAGCCACGGCUAACUACGUG
rnacentral:rRNA from 1 species